UUGGUUUGUAUUUCUAGGUAUGUUCAGUGGGGUGAGAUCACCCACAAGGUUGAUGUCUAUGCUUUCGGGGUUGUCCUAUAUGAACUUAUAUCAGCAAAAGAAGCUAUUGUUAGGUCUAAUGGUUCCAGUGCUGCAAGAGGACUCGUCUAUAUGUUUGAAGAAGUUCUUAAUCAGCCUGGGUCAGAUGAAGAUUUAUGCAAACUAGUAGACCCAAGACUUGGAGACGACUACCCUUCUGAUUCGGUCCGUAAGUUAGCUCAACUUGCUUGCACACAAGAGAAUCCCCAAUUGAGACCUACCAUGAGGUCAAUUGUGGUCGCAUUAAUGACACUUUCAUCAUCCACAGAUGUUGGCUCCUUCUACGAAAACCACGGUCUAGUGAAUCUAAUGUCAGCAAAGUAAAUUAUGGAAACUACCUCGUGACAACUAUUUUCCUUGGCAACUCUGACACUUUCAUUUGUAUAUCUAUGUUGGUACGCCAUUGCAUGUCAUGUAAAUGCCAAGAACUGUACUGAGUGUUUAAAAGGUUUUAAUAUAACUGAUUAGCUGCUUGGUGAA